UCUCCUUCCUCCUCUCUCCUUCCCCCUCUCUACACAUACAUCUAUAAUAGAUCUACUCUACAAAUACACAUCUACGCUCUACAUUAUCUACAAAUUUACGUCUACGCUCUACAUUAUAUCUAUGAUUACAUAAUAAAUUAUACAUCCAUCUUUCAUCCGAAAAUAGAAUCUGCAAAAUACAGAGUCUAGGAGUAACUUCCAAGCAGAAGACGGGAAACUCAGUCAGUGUCUGGAAAACUUCAAAGGCUGGCUUUGUUUUUUCCUCUGCAAAAUAAAUCAAGAACAUGCAUAUAACUAUUAGUACGUUACUUCAAAAAAAUCCAAAAAGAUAAAUAAAUCAUCUAAGACGAAU
rnacentral:lncRNA from 1 species